rnacentral:rRNA from 1 species
UACGUAGGGGGCGAGCGUUGUCCGGAGUUACUGGGCGUAAAGGGCACGCAGGCGGUCAUGUAAGUCUGGUCUGACAGCUCCUGGCUCAACCGGGAGAGGCGAACGGAAACUGCAUGACUUGAGGACUUCAGAGGGACACGGAAUUCCGGGUGGAGUGGUGAAAUGCGUAGAGAUCCGGAGGAACACCAAAGGCGAAGGCAGUGUCCUGGGAAGUACCUGACGCUCAGGUGCGAAAGCCAGGGGAGCGAACGGG